rnacentral:rRNA from 1 species
CGUGUCGUGAGAUGUUGGGUUAAGUCCCGCAACGAGCGCAACCCUUAUUACUAGUUGCCAGCAUUUAGUUGGGCACUCUAGUGAGACUGCCGGUGACAAACCGGAGGAAGGUGGGGAUGACGUCAAAUCAUCAUGCCCCUUAUGACCUGGGCUACACACGUGCUACAAUGGCGUAUACAACGAGUUGCCAACCUGCGAGGGUGAGCUAAUCUCUUAAAGUACGUCUCAGUUCGGAUUGUAGGCUGCAACUCGCCUACAUGAAGUCGGAAUCGCUAGUAAUCGCGGAUCAGCACGCCGCGGUGAAUACGUUCCCGGGUCUUGUACACACCGCCCGUCACACCAUGAGAGUUUGUAACACCCAAAGCCGGUGGGGUAACCUUCGGGAGCCAGCCGUCUAAGGUGGGACAGAUGAUUAGGGU